AAACAUGUCUUUUAGAUUAAUAAUUUAAAGUCUGAUCUGCCCACUGAUAUAAAAUUAAAGGGCUGCAGUAUAUUGACUGUACAAAGGUAGCAUAAUCAAUAGUCUUUUAAUUGAAGACUUGUAUGAAAGAUUUGAUGAAAUAUAAACUGUCUCUGAUUUAAAAUUAGAACUUAAUUUUUUAGUUAAAAAGCUAAAAUUUAUUUAAAAGACGAGAAGACCCUAUAGAGUUUUAUAUUAUUUUUAUUUAAGAUUUUAUUUAUAAUUAAUAAUUAAAAAUAAUAAUAAUAUUUUAUUGGGGUGAUAGAAAAAUUAAAAUAACUUUUUUUAAAUUAGAACAUAAAUAAGUGAAAUUAUGAUCCAUAAUUAAUGAUUAGAAGAAAAAAUUACCUUAGGGAUAACAGCGUAAUAUUUUUUUUUAGUACAAAUAAGAAAGAAAGUUUGCGACCUCGAUGUUGGAUUAAGAUAAAAAUWAAAUGCAAAAGUUUAAAUUUUUGAUCUGUUCGAUCAUUAAAAUCUUACAUGAUCUGA
rnacentral:rRNA from 1 species